rnacentral:rRNA from 1 species
GACGAACGCUGGCGGCGUGCUUAACACAUGCAAGUCGAACGGAAAGGCCCUGCUUUUGUGGGGUGCUCGAGUGGCGAACGGGUGAGUAACACGUGAGUAACCUGCCCUUGACUUUGGGAUAACUUCAGGAAACUGGGGCUAAUACCGGAUAGGAGCGCCUGCUGCAUGGUGGGGGUUGGAAAGUUUAGGCGGUUGUGGAUGGACUCGCGGCUUAUCAGCUUGUUGGUGGGGUAGUGGCUUACCAAGGCUUUGACGGGUAGCCGGCCUGAGAGGGUGAACGGCGACAUUGGGACUGAGAUACGGCGCAGAGUGCUACGGGAGGCAGCAGGGGGGAAUAUUGCACAAUGGGCGGAAGCCUGAUGCAGCAACGCCGCGUGCGGGAUGACGGCCUUCGGGUUGUAAACCGCUUUCGCCUGUGACGAAGCGUGAGUGACGGUAAUGGGUAAAGAAGCACCGGCUAACUACGUG